GGAUCAAUUUGCUGGUCGUGCCUCUGGUACGUACUGGUAUUAUUGAUUUCUUUCAUUCUGAUAAAUCAUUGAUGUCAUUUAUUUGGUGUUGUGGGGAAUCAGGACUGUUACUUUGAAAAAAUUAGAGUGUUUAAAGCAGGCUCACGCUUGAAUACAUUAGCAUGGAAUAAUGAAAUAGGACGUUUGAUUCUAUUUUGUUGGUUUCUAGGAUCGACGUA
rnacentral:rRNA from 1 species